rnacentral:tRNA from 1 species
GCCCCCAUCGUCUAGAGGCCUAGGACUCCACCUUUUCACGGUGGCAACGGGAAUUCGAAUUUCCCUGGGGGUA